rnacentral:misc_RNA from 1 species
AAGUAAAAGUCGUAACAAGGUCUCCGUUGGUGGACCAGCGGAGGGAUCAUUACCGAGUUAUACAACUCCCAAACCCAUGUGAACAUACCUGUCGUUGCUUCGGCGGACCGCCCCGGUGCCUUCCAGCGCCGGAGUCAGGCGCCCGCCGGGGGCUCGAAACACUCUGUUUUUUCUACGCAGAUUUCUGAGUGGCAUUUAUUACAAAUAAAUCAAAACUUUCAACAACGGAUCUCUUGGUUCUGGCAUCGAUGAAGAACGCAGC